rnacentral:rRNA from 1 species
AGCAGCCGCGGUAAUUCCAGCUCCAAUAGCGUAUAUUAAAGUUGUUGCAGUUAAAAAGCUCGUAGUUGAACUUCGGGGUUUAUUCAUUGGUCAGGCUUAAUUGUUUGUACUGGUGAAAUGAAUCUCUACCUUCUGAGGAACUUUCAUGCCAUUUAUUUGGUGUGAUUGGAAAUCAGGACUGUUACUUUGAAAAAUUAGAGUGUUUAAAGCAGGCUAACGUCUGAAUACAUUAGCAUGGAAUAAUGAAAUAGGACGGACUGGUUCUAUUUUGUUGGUUUCUAGGAUCACCGUAAUGAUUAAUAGGGAUAGUUGGGGGCAUUAGUAUUCAAUUGUCAGAGGUGAAAUUCUUGGAUUUAUUGAAGACUAACUACUGCGAAAGCAUUUGCCAAGGAUGUUUUCAUUAAUCAAGAACGAAAGUUAGGGGAUCGAAGACGAUCAGAUACCGUCGUA